rnacentral:rRNA from 1 species
GACAGCAGUAGCCGCGGGAAAACGUAGGGUGCAAGCGUUAAUCGGAAUUACUGGGCGUAAAGCGUGCGCAGGCGGUUUGUUAAGACAGAUGUGAAAUCCCCGGGCUUAACCUGGGAACUGCAUUUGUGACUGGCAAGCUAGAGUCUGGCAGAGGGGGGUGGAAUUCCGCGUGUAGCAGUGAAAUGCGUAGAUAUGCGGAGGAACACCGAUGGCGAAGGCAGCCCCCUGGUCCAUUACUGACGCUGAGGCGCGAUAGCGUGGGGAGCAAACAGGAUUAGAUACCCCGGUAGUCCCUGUCUCUUAUAC